UGGGGAAUAUUGCACAAUGGGCGCAAGCCUGAUGCAGCAACGCCGCGUGAACGAUGAAGGUCUUCGGAUCGUAAAGUUCUGUUGCAGGGGAAGAUAAUGACGGUACCCUGUGAGGAAGCCCCGGCUAACUACGUGCCAGCAGCCGCGGUAAUACGUAGGGGGCUAGCGUUAUCCGGAUUUACUGGGCGUAAAGGGUGCGUAGGUGGUCUUUCAAGUCGGUGGUUAAAGGCUACGGCUCAACCGUAGUUAGCCUCCGAAACUGGAAGACUUGAGUGCAGGAGAGGAAAGUGGAAUUCCCAGUGUAGCGGUGAAAUGCGUAGAUAUUGGGAGGAACACCAGUAGCGAAGGCGGCUUUCUGGACUGCAACUGACACUGAGGCACGAAAGCGUGAGUAGCAAACAGG
rnacentral:rRNA from 1 species